rnacentral:lncRNA from 1 species
GUUCCGGAGGACGGACGAUCCGUGCCCUAAACCUAAAAACAGUUACAGGUGCAGUAUGCGGUAAGCGGGUUGCUCGUCAUCCAAUGACUCUUGCGCGUAAGAAGGCUCACAAACGUCUUACUGUAUGCCCGAGAUUUGGGUUGUUUGCUUUGGCUGCACUAGGCCUUUUUGGAUUGCUGAUAGCUGGGCUCUUUGGUGGCUGCUUUGGGCUUGUUGCUGCAUUUAGGGAUCGCUGCUGUUGUCAGUUAUAAAGGGGCGCUUCCAGAUUCUUCAUUAUAACCCCUUUUUCCUUAAAACAUUAUUGUCCUCUCUCAUAUGUCCGAUUCGUGAGUAAGGUUUCAUCUUUCUGUAAAAGAUCUUCAUGUGAUGAUCUUGUUCGUCUAAGUAUAUCAGUCAAUCUUUUGAUGAUUGAUUAGUUUCUGUAACUGUUCUCGUUGUUAACCUUUCGGAAUAAAGUCGUUUUUUU